AGUUUGAUCCUGGCUCAGAACGAACGCUGGCGGCAUGCCUAACACAUGCAAGUCGAACGCCUGUAGCAAUACAGGAGUGGCGCACGGGUGAGUAACGCGUGGGAACCUGCCCUGGAGUGGGGGAUAACCGAGAGAAAUUUCGGCUAAUACCGCAUACGUCCUGAGGGAGAAAGAUUUAUCGCUCUAGGAGGGGCCCGCGUCGGAUUAGCUAGUUGGUGGGGUAACAGCCUACCAAGGCAACGAUCCGUAGCUGGUCUGAGAGGAUGAUCAGCCACACUGGGACUGAGACACGGCCCAGACUCCUACGGGAGGCAGCAGUGGGGAAUAUUGGACAAUGGGGGAAACCCUGAUCCAGCAAUGCCSCGUGAGUGAUGAAGGCCUUAGGGUUGUAAAGCUCUUUCGGCGGGGACGAUGAUGACGGUACCCGCAGAAGAAGCCCCGGCUAACUUCGUGCCAGCAGCCGCGGUAAUACGAAGGGGGCGAGCGUUGUUCGGAAUUACUGGGCGUAAAGGGCGCGCAGGCGGCUGUGCAAAGUCAGAUGUGAAAGCCCCGGGCUUAACCUGGGAACUGCAUUUGAUACUCUGGAGCUUGAGUACGGGAGAGGAUAGUGGAAUUCCCAGUGUAGAGGUGAAAUUCGUAGAUAUUGGGAAGAACACCGGUGGCGAAGGCGGCUAUCUGGACCGUAACUGACGCUGAGGCGCGAAAGCUGGGGAGCAAACAGGAUUAGAUACCCUGGUAGUCCACGCCGUAAACGAUGUGCGCUCAGACGUUGGAAGGCUUAGCCUUUCGGUGUCGCAGCUAACGCGAUAAGCGCACCGCCUGGGGAGUACGGCCGCAAGGUUAAAACUCGAAACGGAAUUGACGGGGGCCGCACAAGCGUGGAGCAUGUGGUUUAAUUCGACGCAACGCGAAGAACCUUACCAGCUCUUGACAUGCCCGGUAUGGGGUCGAGAAAUCGGCUCCUUCAGUUCGGCUGGCCGGUGCACAGGUGCUGCAUGGCUGUCGUCAGCUCGUGUCGUGAGAUGUUGGGUUAAGUCCCGCAACGAGCGCAACCCUCACCUUUAGUUGCCAUCAGGUUAAGCUGGGCACUCUAAAGGAACUGCCGGUGACAAGCCGGAGGAAGGCGGGGAUGACGUCAAGUCCUCAUGGCCUUUAUGGGCUGGGCUACACACGUGCUACAAUGGCGGUGACAGUGGGAUGCGAAGGCGCAAGCUUGGCCAAUCUCAAAAAGCCGUCUCAGUUCGGAUUGUCCUCUGCAACUCGAGGGCAUGAAGCUGGAAUCGCUAGUAAUCGCGGAUCAGCACGCCGCGGUGAAUACGUUCCCGGGCCUUGUACACACCGCCCGUCACACCAUGGGAGUUGGUUUUACCCGAAGCGCUGCGCCAACCGCAAGGAGGCAGGCGACCACGGUAAGGUCAGCGACUGGGGUGAAGUCGUAACAAG
rnacentral:rRNA from 1 species